GGAGACAGUAGAUGAGGGUAGAAGCUGCUGACAUGACGGUGGAGUUGUUGUAGGCUUUAAUGAAGAGACCGUGGUACAAGCUAGAACUUGAACAGAAUGGACUGAGCACAAAGAACACAGAGUCCAGAAAACACCAAAGAAACAUUAUUAGUUAUAUUUGGAACUGAAGUUCCAGCUGGGAGUCCAUAUGAGGGACAGAAUGGUCACCUGCUCAACUUGUAUGAAUAACUUUAUCAACAUCUGCAGGACCAUUAUCAUAGUCCAGACUGAACAGGUAGCAUGU